rnacentral:misc_RNA from 1 species
GGACCUCUCCCCCCCGAGGUGGCCGCCCCCUCGAUCGUUCUCC